GUUUCUCUGGCCAGGGCUACACCUUCACUCAGGCUCCUCACGCGCCCACUCACUAACAGAGCUGCUGCUGCGUUUAGUAUCUGUUCAAUUGUUCAUGAAAAAUAGGAGAAAUGAUCUCUCAGAGGCAGGUAAAAGAAUUUUCACUUGAAACAUAAGUGGACGCACGCCUGACAACCAUUCCAGGGAGUCCAGAACUGGAGAAGAACGAUCGCUAGAGAAGAAGCACGAUCAACCUUCACUCCUCGACACAGCAGGGAGAACUCCACUGCUCAUCUCUGCUCGUCGAUCACCUCUAGAAGUCUCAAAUCUCAUCUUUGAAGACUCAGAUCUCUACUCGUUUUCGCUCAAA